CCUCUCUCAGGAUCGCACCUGGAGAGUUUUCAUACUCUAGCAGUUUCGACUACGGGAGGGAGAGUCAAGCGGAGGCCUGUCCAUUCCAUUCCUGGCCUGGGUAGUGGCUAGUGAGUGGAAGGCAAUCUGCUUCAAGC